rnacentral:lncRNA from 1 species
GCAGCGCCGACCCCUAAGGCAGCCGGGCGGCUCCUGGUCCAUACGCAGACAUAGCAGCACUUGCGGCACCGGCUGUCGAGCCAAAGCCAGCAUGGGAAGAGCCCCCUCCAGAGAGAGCGCUGGAGGUGGAGGGAGCUCCAGCCAAGGACCAGCCCAGCCAGGAGCUGCCUGAAAUCAUGGCACCUACUGUAGCCACUGGCCUUAAUGCUGGAGCUGAAAACGUGGCUGGAGAGAGAAGUGGGAGGGAGGGGGUGACAAGCACAGCCCCAGCCAGCAGAUCCCAUGCUGCCCCUAGUCCUGGGCAUGGUGGCAAACAUGGAGGCGGAGACCAGGGCAUUCAGACUGGACUCCUGUACCUCGCUGGAGAGAGGCUUCUCUCAUUCACUAGAACCACAGCCCUGCUGCUGCAGGGCCUGUUUAUUGUGCUAAUGCUGGUGGGGUAUAUCUCUGUGCAGGUGGUGCUCAAGAGCAUUAAAACAAGGCUGGGAAGAAGAGUUCCAGCAGCUCCUCCUGCUCUCAGACGCAAUCUUCUCCUCCAGGCAUGGAUGUGUGUCUGCAACUGGGCAUCCAGGCUGUUUGCCCCCUAAUGUGCUGCCCCGAACGGGCUCUUAACAGGUGGGCAGGGGUUGAGGGGACCAGGAGGUGGCUCCAAAGGGUACAGCAAGGAAAGCUUUUAAAGACAGCUGUUGUGCUCCAGGCUCUCCAUGCCACCACCUG